AAACUUACCUGGCAGGGGAGAUACCAUGGUCUUUAAGGGGUUUUCCCAGGGUGAGACUUACCUGUUUCACUCCAGAUGUGCUGACUCCCGAAAUUUUCCCAAAUCUGGGAAACUCAACUGCAGAAUUUGUAGUAGUGGGUGACUGCAUUUGCACUGUCCCCUG